UUGCGCAAAGCACAUGCUGUACAUGCAUGUGGGAUCAGCUGAUCAGCAGCUACAGCAGUCGACCUACAUUUUAUACUAAUAUAUCUUAACGUUUUCCAAGCAAGCUAUCGAUCAGAUAAAAUGAACUGCCGGACUGAACGAUCAGUACGAAAGAUUAAAAGUUUUAUCCCUUUUCACCAGCCAAGAUGCUAUGAGGAUUGAUUAAAAUCAGAUAUAAGGAACGAAAACGUAGGCGAAAAAUACUGGAGCAAAAUGCAGGAUUACGAGCCAGCAUGCCCGCGUUUCGCUCAUCAGCUGAUCUACGACUACGUGAGAAAAAUUUACUAUUUGUUCGGAGGGACAGCAUCGAGGCUCUCUAGUAUCUUCAAAAUGAAGUUUCCGAUAUCAUCGAUCACGAUGACGACGAGGAGCAAAUCAAAGAGUUUCAACUACUCGCAUCCGUCAUAUUCCGGGAACAGGAGUCAGCCCGAAACAUCGAUUUAUCGUCGUCUUCGAGCACCGAGGAUUCCGAAACAUUUGAAAAAACGCAAGAAAACUUCACGUCCGUCGAGCCGAAUAUUGUAUGAUAAGUUGACGGAAUUUUUUUCCGAAUCGCUCACGCAGCCUCGAGACAAUUUAAUUGCUUUAUUGCCAUUAUGAUGAACGAGUGAAACCGGGUAGUCGACGACUCAUUGUUGAUUGACAAUGAUACUCCCAAUCGAAUUCGGAGUAGAGGAAAUUAGUGAGCGGUUCAAAAGAAGCAGUCACUGCGUGGCUCAAGAAUGUCCCACAUUGUUGCGUAAAGGUCUUCUGGAGUUGUUCCCUGGCUGUGUCGAAGUGGCCUCACCGCAGUUUACCAUUAUAACUCUAAGUCAAAAAUUAAGUGAUCAAAGUCACCCGUGGAGCAGGGAAAUGGAAACUGAGAAGCUGGCUAUAUUCCUGUGUUUUGCACCGUUCCAAAAGUUAUAGCAACGCAACUGGGCGAGGUUCGUUCGGGGCUGGUUUUAACAGCGGCUGUUACAUCCGAUCAAGAAACUGGAGAACGCAGGUUGGAAACUGGUGCUAUGGUUUUUAUGAUUGCUGUAACUGCCAACCAUUGAAUAACGAAGAUGCACAAUCCGAGGUUCAGCCUCCACCCUUCUACAAGGACGUUUCAUCGUAAAUCAAGCUGUUCUCCCCACGAUCCAAAUCUGGAUAACACGAGCUGGCGUCAAUCCAAAUUGGGAACUUAUAGCACCAAAAGGAUUUAGAUUUUAUAUGCCAAUAAGGAGUGCAGGUCGUGGAUGGUUAAAUGCAACCACA